rnacentral:rRNA from 1 species
AGUAAGGGCGACUGAAACGGGAAGAGCCCAGCGCAUAACCUGGCGUCGUGACCCGGCGCCAGGGGUGUUGCGUUUCGGAGGGUCCGGCACGCAGUCUCUCACCGCCUAAGUUAUGCUUGAAAGCGGCCACUACCCAUGGAGGGUGACAGGCCCGUGUGGCGGAGCCCGCGAGGGUACACGAGAGAUUGUCGGAAAGGGCCUCUCCGUAGAGUCGGGUUGCUUGAAAAUGCAGCCCUAAGCAGGUGGUAAACUCCAUCUAAGGCUAAAUAUGACCACGAGACCGAUAGCGAACAAGUACCGUGAGGGAAAGUUGAAAAGAACUUUGAAGAGAGAGUUCAAGAGUACGUGAAACCGUUAAGAGCCAAACGGGUGGGACCUCGAAGGUCGAACCGAGGGGAUUCAGCUCGUCGGCCAAAGCCGGCUGGGUGUCGGGAUUCGCUGAUGCGACCCAGGAACUCUUGGGCGUGCCCGCACUCAAGUCGGCGUCGGCGGGCGUAUUUCCCCUCGUGAUGUAGGUCGCCGCGACCCGUUGCUGGGGACGUCUAAGGCCCGGGCGGACUGGUACCCCGACGUCGCGCGCUUCGGCGCCGGCGAAGGGGGAAACCUCCGGUGUCCUGGCUGCCCUGCGACGGUCGUGUAGCAGAGGGGCGCAUCCACGCCAAUCAUUCCUCUCGCGGCGUGCAAAAGGUCGGUGACCCACCCGACCCCGCUGUGGCCGUUCCGUUCCAAAGCGAGGCUGCCAAGGGGGUGCGCGGGAUGAGACCCUUUCUCCCGCGUCCACCUCCGGUCUCGUGGGCGGCCGUUGGCGCGCUCGCCGGUCCGAUUCGCGUCGCCUGUACGCAGGGGGGCGCAAGCCCGGGACUUGCCAUGUGACGCUGUCGCGCGAAGCUGUUGUUGACCUCGCUGGCUCUGCUUGGGCUCUCGGCUGGCGUGCCGCCGCCGCAGCCGCCGCUCGGUGGGUUCGCCUGCCGCGGCGGUGGUGGUGGUGGUGGUUUCGCCUUCCGAUCCUGCUCUGUCCGGAGUGGUCUAGCGCGCGUGCUGUCGGCAAGUACCAUGAGCAGUCAUGUUGGGACCCGAAAGAUGGUGAACUAUGCCUGGCCAGGAUGAAGCCAGAGGAAACUCUGGUGGAGGUCCGAAGCAAUUCUGACGUGCAAAUCGAUUGUCAGAGCUGGGUAUAGGGGCGAAAGACUAAUCGAACCAUCUAGUAGCUGGUUCCCUCCGAAGUUUCCCUCAGGAUAGCUGAUACUCACGGGAAAAGAGGAGUUUCAUCCGGUAAAGCGAAUGAUUAGAGGUCUUGGGGACGAAACGUCCUCAACCUAUUCUCAAACUUUAAAUGGGUGAGAUGCCAAGCUUGCUUGAAUGCUGAAGCUCUGGCGAUUAAUCUGAGUAUCUAAUGGGCCAUUUUUGGUAAGCAGAACUGGCGCUGUGGGAUGAACCAAACGUCGAGUUAAGGGGCCUAAACGAAUGCUCAUCUAGACCCCAUCGAAAGGUGUUGGUUGCUAUAGACAGCAGGACGGUGGCCAUGGAAGUUGGAAUCCGCUAAGGAGUGUGUAACAACUCACCUGCCGAAGCAACUAGCCCUUAAAAUGGUAUGGCGCUCAAGCAUUCUCCCGAUACUCGACCGCCGGUGGCACUAAAGGCCAAGCUUCCCUCUUGACGGGGGGAAGCCCAGGUCUCCAAGCCCCGGCGAGUAGGAGGGUCGCAGGGGUGAGCGCUGAAGGGAUCCGGCGUGAGCCGGCCUGGAGCCGCCCCUGGUGCAGAUCUUGGUGGUAGUAGCAAAUAGUCGAGAGAGACUUCCCUUGAAGGCCGAAGUGGAGAAGGGUUCCAUGUGAACAUCAGUUGGACAUGGGUUAGUCGCUCCUAAGUCCAAGGCUAAAGCCUUAUCCCACGUGAGCGGCAACGGCCAAGUGAAUAAAACUUAACAAUC